GCCCGGAUGGUCUAGUGGUAUGAUUCGCGCUUAGGGAUAACCCAAAGCAAUAAUUGCGCGAGGUCCCCGGUUCGAUCCCGGGUUCGGGCC
rnacentral:tRNA from 1 species